rnacentral:rRNA from 1 species
CGGGAGGCAGCAGUGAGGAAUAUUGGUCAAUGGACGAGAGUCUGAACCAGCCAAGUAGCGUGAAGGAUGAAGGUCCUACGGAUUGUAAACUUCUUUUAUAAGGGAAUAAACCCUCCCACGUGUGGGAGCUUGUAUGUACCUUAUGAAUAAGCAUCGGCUAACUCCGUGCCAGCAGCCGCGGUAAUACGGAGGAUGCGAGCGUUAUCCGGAUUUAUUGGGUUUAAAGGGAGCGCAGACGGGUCGUUAAGUCAGCUGUGAAAGUUUGGGGCUCAACCUUAAAAUUGCAGUUGAUACUGGCGUCCUUGAGUGCGGUUGAGGUGUGCGGAAUUCGUGGUGUAGCGGUGAA